AUUGAACGCUGGCGGCAUGCCUUACACAUGCAAGUCGAACGGCAGCACGGACUUCGGUCUGGUGGCGAGUGGCGAACGGGUGAGUAAUAUAUCGGAACAUACCUUGUAGUGGGGGAUAACUAUCUGAAAGGAUAGCUAAUACCGCAUACGCUCUAUGGAGGAAAGCGGGGGAUCGUAAGACCUCGUGCUAUAAGAGUGGCCGAUAUCUGAUUAGCUAGUUGGUGAGGUAAAGGCUCACCAAGGCGACAAUCAGUAGCUGGUCUGAGAGGACGACCAGCCACACGGGAACUGAGACACGGUCCAGACUCCUACGGGAGGCAGCAGUGGGGAAUUUUGGACAAUGGGGGCAACCCUGAUCCAGCAAUGCCGCGUGAGUGAAGAAGGCCUUCGGGUUGUAAAGCUCUUUUGUCAGGGAAGAAACGGUUGUGGCUAAUAUCCAUGGCUAAUGACGGUACCUGAAGAAUAAGGACCGGCUAACUACGUGCCAGCCGCCGCCGUAAUAC
rnacentral:rRNA from 1 species